rnacentral:rRNA from 1 species
AUUGAACGCUGGCGGCAGGCCUAACACAUGCAAGUCGAACGAGUGGCGGACGGGUGAGUAAUGUCUGGGAAACUGCCUGAUGGAGGGGGAUAACUACUGGAAACGGUAGCUAAUACAGCAUACCAUCAGAUGUGCCCAGAUGGGAUUAGCUAGUGGGUGGGGUAAAGUAUAACCCAGGCGACGAUCCCUAGCUGGUCUGAGAGGAUGACCAGCCACACUGGAACUGAGACACGGUCCAGACUCCUACGGGAGGCAGCAGUGGGGAAUAUUGGACAAUGGGCGAAAGCCUGAUGCAGCCAUGCCGCGUGUAUGAAGAAGGCCUUCGGGUUGUAAAGUACUUUCAGCGGGGAGGCGUUACCCGCAGAAGAAGCACCGGCUAACUCCGUGCCAGCAGCCGCGGUAAUAC